rnacentral:misc_RNA from 1 species
AAGUAUGAAAGCCUUCAAACAAAACCAUCCUCCGGUGGAAUAUAGAGAGUUGUCCAAAAGGGUAGAAACUUAUUGUAAAGGUGUUCCACUAGCUCUCAAGGUUUUGGGUUCCUAUUUGUGCGGAAGGACUUCUAAAGAAUGGGAAAGUGCAUUGAAUAAACUGAAGGUAUCUCCUGACUACAACAUUCUGAAAGUCUUAAAAGUAAGUUAUAAUGCUUUAGAUCGAAUGGAAAAAAGCAUAUUUCUAGAUAUUGCAUGUUUCUUCAAAGGAUAUUACAAAAGCUGGGUAAAAGAUUUAUUAGACGAUUGGGCAAUAAUUCGUCUAAUGGAUCAGUGUCUCAUAACUAUUGUGCAUGGCAAGCUAGAGAUGCACGAUUUGAUAGUGG